CUCUUCUCUAUAAUCCUAUCUAUCCCAUGGCCGUUUCCCUCCAACAAAAACAGUGGCUGAGAUUACAGUGGGCCAUUGUGUAAUCAACGUUCCAGAUGAUCACGUAGAUGUGUCGGUCUCCAUGGCGCCUGCAGGAGAAAUCAAAGACAUGAAGCUAGCUCAUUAGGACAUUUUCAAUGUGGCGCUCCCUUCGGUACGAAGUCCGCCGGAGAGAUACCCGACAAUCCCAGCGGCUGAAAGAAACACCGUAGUUGCUGCUGCUCUGCGCACGGCCUUUUGGGUUUUCUUCUUCUCUUCCAUAUCUCCUGCUGGCGGUGGAGGAAGCGCAGGCUCGAUCUCGAGGUACGCGUCUGGAAUUUUGAUUUUGAUUUCGUCGGCCAUUGUUCUUUUGCAGAGGAUUUGCAGUGGGAUAUAGAGACUUGCUUGAAACCAAAGCUUCAGCUGCUCCUAUAAAAGACAGCGUUCUGUGCUUUGCUGAAUGAUCAUAACAGGCGCAGUUUGGAUGGAUCCACUGCCACUGUGAUGUAUGUGCCUUACAUCCACACCGUUCAUCCAUUUUGAUAGUUCAUUUUAGGGUACCAUCCCAAAAAUGAAGCAGACCCAAAUCUCAGGUGGGCCAUAGUACAGGAAAAAUUAGUGAUCAACCAUUAAAAACUUCUAGUGAGACACAAAAGUUUUGGAUCAAGCUGAUAUUUGUGUGGUCUCUUCAUCUAGGUCUUUGUAACCUUAUCAACAGAUUGGAUGGAAAACAAACAUUCCGGUGGCCCCUAUAAAGUUUUAAUGAUUGGGAUUCAAUCCAUACUGU